CAUAACCUGGUUGAUCCUGCCAGUAGCAUACGCUUGUCUCAAAGAUUAAGCCAUGCAUGUCUAAGUAUAAACAACUUUAUACGUGAAACUGCGAAUGGCUCAUUAUAUCAGUUAUAGUUUAUUUGAUGGUCAUUGCUACUUGGAUAACCGUAGUAAUUCUAGAGCUAAUACAUGCAUCAAACCCCGACUUCUGGA
rnacentral:rRNA from 1 species